rnacentral:tRNA from 1 species
CAGGGGGUAGUUUAUAUGAAAAUAUUAGCUUUGGGAGUUGAUGAUAAGUUUUUCUUUCCUCUGA